rnacentral:tRNA from 1 species
CGGAGUAUGGCGCAGUUGGUAGCGCGCGUCGUUCGGGACGACGAGGCCGGCGGUUCAAAUCCGCCUACUCCGA